GACGAACGCUGGCGGCGUGCUUAACACAUGCAAGUCGAACGGAAAGUCCCUGCUUUUUUGGGGUGCUCGAGUUGCGAACGGGUGAGUAACACGUGAGUAACCUGCCCUUGACUUUGGGAUAACUUCAGGAAACUGGGGCUAAUACCGGAUAGGAGCUCCUGCUUCAUGGUGGGGGUUGGAAAGUUUCGGCGGUUGGGGAUGGACUCGCGGCUGAUCAGCUUGUUGGUAGGGUAGUGGCUUACCAAGGCUUUGACGGAGAGCUGGCCUGAGAGGAGGACCGGGCACAGGGGGACGGAGACACGGCCAAGACUCGGACGGGAGGCAGCAGGGGGGAAUAGGGGACAAUGGGCGAAAGACUGAUCCAGCAAUGCCGCGGGAGGGAGGAAGGCCGUAGGGGUGUAAAGCUAUGGUACCCGGGAGGAUAAGGACAGGACCGGGAGAAUAAGCUCCGGCUAACUCCGUG
rnacentral:rRNA from 1 species